AAACCAGCACCUCAAGUGGUCAGGAGGAUUAUUGGGCCUAAAGCAUCCGUAGCCGGCUCUGUAAGUUUUCGGUUAAAUCUGUAUGCUCAACAUACAGGCUGCCGGGAAUACUGCAGAGCUAGGGAGUGGGAGAGGUAGACGGUACUCGGGAGGAAGUGGUAAAAUGCUUUGAUCUCUCGAUGACCACCUGUGGCGAAGGCGGUCUACCAGAACACGUCCGACGGUGAGGGAUGAAAGCUGGGGGAGCAAACCGGAUUAGAAACCCCGGUAGUCC
rnacentral:rRNA from 1 species